UACGGGGGGGGGCAAGCGUUGUCCGGAUUUACUGGGCGUAAAGAGCGCGCAGGCGGUCGUUCAAGUCGAGUGUGAAAGCCCCCGGCUCAACUGGGGAGGGUCACGCGAUACUGGUCGACUCGAAGGCAGGAGAGGGUAGUGGAAUUCCCGGUGUAGUGGUGAAAUGCGUAGAUAUCGGGAGGAACACCAGUGGCGAAGGCGACUACCUGGCCUGUUCUUGACGCUGAGGCGCGAAAGCUAGGGGAGCAAACAGG
rnacentral:rRNA from 1 species